UACGUAGGGUGCGAGCGUUAAUCGGAAUUACUGGGCGUAAAGCGUGCGCAGGCGGUCUGUUAAGACAGAUGUGAAAUCCCUGGGCUUAACCUGGGAACUGCAUUUGUGACUGGCAGGCUAGAGUAUGGCAGAGGGGGGUAGAAUUCCACGUGUAGCAGUGAAAUGCGUAGAGAUGUGGAGGAAUACCGAUGGCGAAGGCAGCCCCCUGGGCCAAUACUGACGCUCAUGCACGAAAGCGUGGGGAGCAAACAGG
rnacentral:rRNA from 1 species